AUCCUUUUGUAGUUCGUAAGUGUGAUGACUGGGUGUUCACGCACACGUGUGAAAUGUGUCUCCCUCAAAUCUUGUUACAACAUUGGCACAUUACUUGUCUGAUG
ensembl:snoRNA